GUAAAUAAAAUAGUUCCCAGCUCCGAAAUGUUGACCUUGCUAUUAUUUUUACUGUCUGUUCUUCAUGUGAAUGGCUGGGACAGUUGGGAGACUGAUGGUAAGUAAUUAAAUGAUUUUAAUAACGCAUGCAGAUUGCAGACAAUUAGAAAGUGUAGGGAAAGGGCAUUAUUUUUUUAGAAAAAUAGGGCAAACAUUUAAUAAUAAGGAAUAAGUUAGUGCUAAAAUAUAGAGUAAAGAAUAAUGGGCAAGAUGUACGACGAAAUGAGAAAAAUUGCUAAAUAAAUCGAAUAAUACAUAAUUUUCAUUGGCCCGUCAUUAGUAUGCUUGACAUAUUUGGCGCUGAACGUUAAACGAGCAAAGUAAACAUUAACUCAAACUUCUGUUUCCUUGUACGCAGAAAAAGAGUAUACAACUUUAUUAUAUACAUUAUUCUAUACUUAUAGUUCCAGUAGCGUGUGAUUUGUCUCAUAUCGAUAGUGGCUGUGAUCAUCGCCAAGGCUUCUACAAUGUUUAUAAAGUGCUGGUCGGAUUGUUGUCGCUUUAACACAUUUCCAUUCUCAAGUGUAUUUACCUAUUGCAUGACGUCACGAAUACGAAUUCCUACAGAGGGGACACAAUUCUAUUAAAAAAAUAUGUUUUUUUCAUCUAGACAUAAUUAUGGUGCAUAUUUAUUGAAACAUUAAUAUUACGUGGUGUAUUGAUGAGUUAACUCGAGCUUCCACUCACAAACUUAACAGUGAAUAAGUCGGUUGAGGUAGCACAACAGUUAAUUAUUUAACAAAAGCUGUAUUACUUACCUCAAGUUCUACAUUGUAUAUAAGUUUAUAACAAUUGCUAGAUGAUAUAUUGUAGAUUGGACGACGGUCUUUGUUGCUUGUCCUGGUAACGGUAAAUCGGUAUGGGACGCUUGGAAUGCUUACGCUGGAGUGACGUGUGCAACAUCUAGUGUUGUUGAGGAUGCUGACACGUGUAAACAAUCGCACCAAUCAGAUCCGAUUCUCAAUGAAUGGCGAUCAAGUCAUAUAGAACAGGUAAAUUUGUUAAACCAUUCUACGAAAUUUUUGCUCGCAAACUUUUUUAAAUUAUUUUCGUUUCCACGCUAUAAAACGAAUUAUAAUUUUUCGGAAUUGAACGCUAUAUACAUGUAAGGGUAGGAAAAUCAGAAUUCAGAAAAUUGUUUUGUCAUCUACUUCACCAGAAUAUCUCUUUUGAAGUUGGUCGCUCCCCAAUAAUAACAAAUUCAGGGAAUUAAAUACCGUGAUCAUAAUACACAAGCAAAAUUUGCUCACACUUAUCUCACAUUAAAUUCACGUACAUAAAACGUGGUAUUUUUGACAAGACAAGACAAUAUUUUUAUAAAACAUUUACAUAAUAUUACAAUUUCGAAAAUCUGCAUAUAGUGGACAUUUCAAAAUUACAUGUUUCUCAUCUUCAAUUGUAUCAUCAUUACAAUUACAAACAUAUUCUUUCAUUAUUAGCCUAUGAUUGUUAGUUAUGAUACCGGCCCGUUUCAAUUUUAAUGGGUUUUCACUGAUUUUAUGUGAGUUUCACAAAUAAUCUCGUUUGAGGUAAAGUUCAAAUUAGUGAUUUAAUUCACGUAAAAUUGACGUGGAUGAACAUUGCCGGUGUAGUAUAUUUGAGGUUGAAAGAAACAUGCUGUCAAAGUAUCAAUUGUCUUUUAAUGAAUCUAUGUUGGCGCUGAUCUUGUGGGUUCGACGUUUGAGUCAUGCAUGCAAGUACAGAGUGAAAUUAUUACAAAAUUCAUAAAUAAACGAUCAAUGACCAUCAUGUAUAUAUAUUGUGGUUCAUACACUAGAGUUCUCUUACUUUUGAUGACUUAUUAAUUUUAGGUAAGACUGAGGCUAUGGAAGGAUGGUGAAAUUGUUGUUCAAAUGACAUUUAAUGGAACGGACACUUACAAAUUCAAUUGGUUUACACAGAGAAGGUUGUUGGCGAGUACAUAUUCUUACGACACGUACGAAGGACGAGGUGACACACAAUUCACCUUUUUUAGUUCGGACGGGUAAGGUCAUUUCGUUUAAAUAAUAUAUCAUUGAAUAUAUCUGUUAAGGUUAUUUAUUACUAGUAAUAUACUCGCAUACAUUGAAAGAUAUGUUAAAAAUCUUAUAGGAAAACGGAAAUAAACAUUACUCAUUUUAAGAAUUGUCCAUUUUUUGAGUUAUGAAAAAAACAAAUACGAGUAUUCAUUCAGAUAAAAAAAAGUGUAUUCAAAGUCAAGCGCUUGAGAUAAAAAGUCUAGCACUGUCGACUUAAAGUGAAGAUGUAAUGUCUAGCUAGCGACGUAGAUAUUGUGUCUUGAACACUCGAGAUAUAAAUUUCAGCCAGCCGUAGAGUAAAGUCCAGUACUUAGAUAUACACACCAGCGCUACAAAUGCAACCAUCACAACAUGUCGGGUUACACGCAAAUUCUAGAACAGUAAGUGUAUUUAAAGUUGUGUGUUCGAGGUAACAAGAAUACAACAUAUUUAUUAUUUUUCUAAAGCACAACAGGCUCAGCAAUUUGUAUUUCUCUGUAUGUUAUAGCUAUGGUAACGGUGUCAAUAGACGGUUUUACAUAAACAAGAUCAACUAUUCAGGCUGUGAGAAAGAUGCUGGUUGGAUGUUCGUCAAGGAUGUUGGCUCUAGAACGGAUUGCUUAUUCGAUAGCUAUAGAAAGUAUCCUUACUUUUUAUAUGCAACCAAUGACCACGGUGGUGUUUGGCAAACUGAAGGUGAGUAUAGCUAUCACGGUUUCGUCAGUUUAUCACAUACGUUAAUUUACAUGCAUUACAUAUACAUAUUUAGGACUUUUCUGGUAUAUAAUAGAAAAAAACAAAGGAUAUGGUGUAUCUAUCCGUGAAACACAAAAAAAAACAGUACAUGCACAACAAAAGAAACACCCAAAUGUUUAGAGACAGCACUUGUAUUGCUGUUCUUAAUCUUAAACGGACUGCGAGGCCUUCAACACGAAGCAAAAUAAUUUUCACCUCACAGCAAAUUGAAGUUUAAGACGGCCCUUAGCUCCACCUUGAUUGUAAUUAUUUGAAAAAGUAAUUUUGCUAGGCUUUGUAAGAUGUGACACCAUCUAAUCGGGCCCGCUCAGAAAAAGAACAUUCAGGAAAAAAGUACAUAUUUAAAACAAAAUAGUAUGCUCUUCUUCAGACCAUCCGAAACAUAUCAAUAUUCAGAGAAUAUUUGAUAUAAAGCUAUCAUACUAGUUUGGAUUGUAUCGUCACUAAUUAACAAUGUAUACGAGAGUAAAGGGAAUUUAUUUGACAAUUAUAUUUUGGUAUUUGACAAUUAUAAUUAAAUAAUAAACGCAAGUUUCGAGGGUUAUUAUUUAAAGAAGUUGGUCUGAUCGUAUUGUAUUUUUGAUGCAACUAUGUUGGCUGUGAAUUAUCAGAUUUUGGCUGCUUCAUCGGCCUUGCAAUAUUGAAUUGAACCUGAGGUUUUUCUUGCAACUCAUUAAACCCAAACCAAUUGGCCAACUUGCUCACCAAGUCCUCGUAGGAAAAAUAUUAUCUUUAGAGGGGGACUAUCUAAACCAAUUAUAAAUCAAAUAUUAUCAUUAAAGGGGAACUACCAUUACCAACUCUAUAGAACAGCAAUACUCAAUCAGUUAAAAAUAAAAGGAAUGGUAAUUACCUUUGUUUUCAAAAAGAACCACAGUUUGAAACUAAAGAGUAAUAAUAAUUGUAUAACCAAAAAUCUAUUUGAACAUUUAAAAUUUGAUAUGUCAGCAAAUGACUUAACUUUACACCGAAUAAAACUAAAUAACGUUAAAGUUAGCAACUAUAGUUCCCGAUACAGCUUUCUAUAAUGAACAAAACCAAUAUCGUAAAGUCUGAUAUUCUGCUAUAACACACACACCCAAGACCACCGCAUGAAAAGGUUUUCUAUUCAAGAGUAAAAUAAAUAUAGAACAACACAAAAUUAUAAAAAAUACCAAACUCCAAGGGAAAUUCAAAACGGAAAGUUCUUUAUGGAAUCGUAAAAUCAAAAGCGCAAAAACAUCUAUCGAACGGAAAACAACUGAUAUAUUCCUGAAUUGUAUUUUCUUCUAUAGAAAAUAAUGGGUCAAACCUGGUUUUAUGGCUUAUUAAACCGGUAUGUCAUUUGCAUUUAACUGCUUUAUAUUGACCACAAUGUGUAUGCAAAAACGUCAGACAUAAAAAAUAAAAACAUAAAAAAAUGGGAUACAGCAGUCAACAUUAUAUGGUAGUUCUUUGAAAUAUAAGCCACAAUUUCUCUAUAGGUGACUACGAUUUUGCUGACAUGAUGUCAAUCCAAGUACUCCAAGGAAAAGACGUAGAACAAGAAGUGACCACCACGACCACAUCACCCGAGGAACUAUGGGUACCGAUUUAGAAACAAAGUAAAAGGAAAACAACGAAGAGAAACACACCAAUCGACACUCGCAUUUUAUUAAUUGUGAUUGAUGCAGUACAUUAAAAAACGAUUGUCAAAA
rnacentral:lncRNA from 1 species